GACGAACGCUGGCGGCGUGCUUAAAACAUGCGAGUCGAACGGAAAGGCCCUGCUUUUGUGGGGUGCUCGAGUGGCGAACGGGUGAGUAACACGUGAGUAACCUGCCCUUGACUUUGGGAUAACUUCAGGAAACUGGGGCUAAUACCGGAUAGGAGCUCCUGCUGCAUGGUGGGGGUUGGAAAGUUUCGGCGGUUGGGGAUGGACUCGCGGCUUAUCAGCUUGUUGGUGGGGUAGUGGCUUACCAAGGCUUUGACGGGUAGCCGGCCUGAGAGGGUGACCGGCCACAUUGGGACUGAGAUACGGCCAAGACUCCUACGGGAGGCAGAAGUGGGGAAUAUUGCACAAUGGGCGGAAGCCUGAUGCAGCAACGCCGCGUGCGGGAUGACGGCCUUCGGGUUGUAAACCGCUUUCGCCUGUGACGAAGCGUGAGUGACGGUAAUGGGUAAAGAAGCACCGGCUAACUACGUG
rnacentral:rRNA from 1 species